AGUUUGCUCUGCCUCCUGACGGUUUGCCAGUUCGGGACUGCCAUCUCUAAUUAACAUGCAGGGAAAUGAGGAAAUGGAGUUUCCAGAGCUUUGGUUGCUUUUCCAAAUCCCAAAGCCAAGUCGCCCUGGUCGUCCAGCUGCUUCCUGCCUGCAGUCCUGAAGCAAUGCUGAGGGGCAGUAGGGGCACCACUCAUAGCACCAGUUUAUAGAAGUCCUGAGGAAGGAGAAACAUCUGGGAUUGGAGGAGCUGUGGUCUCCAGAGAACAGGAGAAAUCCUCAUGGCUGUAAAAGAUACUUACGUCAUUUGGCCUCAGAGGCUGGGCAAGUUCCUGGAGUUUUCCAUGGUGAUUUUGAGACAGCAGCAAAGUCUUUUUAGGAGAAGAAAAGUGGACAUAAAUUAUUCGAUAGUCAAUCUGGGUUCCUUCAGAGCUCUCCGGCAGCCGGACCACGUCAUCUAGAUGUCUGGCUUUUGGUACCCAUGUAAAAAGAAACUUCAUUAUUGAAUUAAAAUAUAUUUGUAUUCUG
ensembl:lincRNA Gm4035 predicted gene 4035